GAUGAAGAACGCAGCGAAAUGCGAUAAGUAAUGUGAAUUGCAGAAUUCAGUGAAUCAUCGAAUCUUUGAACGCACAUUGCGCCCGCCAGUAUUCUGGCGGGCAUGCCUGUUCGAGCGUCAUUUCAACCAUCAAGCCCUGCUUGCGUUGGGGUCCUGCGGCUGCCCGCAGGCCCUGAAAACCAGUGGCGGGCUCGCUAGUCACACCGAGCGCAGCAAUACAUCUCGCUUUGGGCGUGCGGCGGGUUCUUGCCGUUAAACACCCCCUUUUUACCAAGGUUGACCUCGGAUCAGGUAGGAAUACCCGCUGAACUUAAGCAUAUCAAUAAGCGGAGGA
rnacentral:misc_RNA from 1 species